rnacentral:rRNA from 1 species
UGGGGAAUAUUGCACAAUGGGCGCAAGCCUGAUGCAGCCAUGCCGCGUGUAUGAAGAAGGCCUUCGGGUUGUAAAGUACUUUCAGCGGGGAGGAAGGCGAUAAGGUUAAUAACCUUGUCGAUUGACGUUACCCGCAGAAGAAGCACCGGCUAACUCCGUGCCAGCAGCCGCGGUAAUACGGAGGGUGCAAGCGUUAAUCGGAAUUACUGGGCGUAAAGCGCACGCAGGCGGUCUGUCAAGUCGGAUGUGAAAUCCCCGGGCUCAACCUGGGAACUGCAUCCGAAACUGGCAGGCUUGAGUCUUGUAGAGGGGGGUAGAAUUCCAGGUGUAGCGGUGAAAUGCGUAGAGAUCUGGAGGAAUACCGGUGGCGAAGGCGGCCCCCUGGACAAAGACUGACGCUCAGGUGCGAAAGCGUGGGGAGCAAACA